rnacentral:lncRNA from 1 species
GAGGUAUCCAACCUCCAUUGGAAGUGACCCAAACAAAUUGUUUUGAGAAAGAUUCAAAGUUUUGGACAGAGAUGAAAGUUGAAGAAGUCGUGUGGGUAUUUUUCCGUUAAGUCUAUUGUCACCAAGGUCUAACUCUAAUAGACGACCACAAUUUCCAAGGCUUGAUGGGAUAGCCCCUUCCAACUUGUUUGAAGAUAAAGAAAGUGUGAUCAACAAUGAUAAAUUCCCUAUGGUAUCAGGUAUUCUUCCUAAAAGUUGGUUUUUGUGUAAAUCAAGUACUUGUAGCUUUUGAAGGUUACCAAUGGUUGAGGGAAUACUUCCAGUGAAAUGGUUUGUUGCUAAAUAUAAACUGCUCACGCCAGCUAGAUUGCCAAUUGAUAAAGGGAGGUUUCCAUGUAACUGAUUUAGCUCUAAAGAUAAAUAGCUGAGUUGAUCAGAAAGAUUACCUAUAGAACUCGGGAGCACUCCUUGAAAAUUGCAGUCGGAAAUAUCCAGUUUUGAAAAGUCGAUCGUCAACUUUCCACGAAACUUGUUCUUGUUCAUUUGAAGAUCCGACAAUCUUGAGCAAUUAGAAAUUGUUGGUGGAAGAGGCCCGGUUAGUUGGUUACCCCAUAAAUAAAGAGAAACGAGUUGUGGGAGCAUUGUACCUAAGGCUAGAGGAAGGCUGCCUGUCAGUUGAUUAUUAGUGAAGCGAACAUCGGUUAGGAGUGAAAGGUUAUACAUGGGAGCGAUGGUCCCGGAUAAAUUACAAUGACUGCAGUAAAUUUGUUCUAAAUUUUUCCAAUUGCUUAAGGUGUCUGGAAUGCUCCCACCCAAAGGAUUUCUAGAAAGAACACGUAGCCUAGAAAGGCGGCCGAGUUCAUGAGGGAUGGCUCCUUGAAAACUGUUAUUCCAAAGGUAAAGUCGACGGAGGAAGCUGAGGUUCCCUACAUGAGGAGACAAAGAGCCUUCUAGACCUUGCGAGAUCAGUCGUAAAUAAGUCACCCUUCUAUGCCUCUUCCCACAUGUAACACCAGCCCAAUCACAGAAAUGCGUGGAACUGUUCCAUGAGGUUAGAGCUCCGUAUGGAUCGUGAGUGAUCAUCAACUUGAUAUUGAGCAAAGCCUGAUGAUCAGUCUCAUUUUGGCCUACAUAGGCAGCUGAGAUGGUUGUGGAAGUAAGAAAUAUAACAAGAGUAUAAAAGAUCAAAUGAAUGUGAGAGAAAGAUGAUAAGCAAACAAUUGGUUGUUUUGAAUUCAUUUUUAGGAGUAAUAUAAAACUGGAGAUGAAAAUCCUUAGGCCUUUUUAUCAUCAACUUUUGCAUGUUAAAUGAGAUGGCCAGGGGUAGAUUCAAGUUAUUGUCAAAGGGGGAGGCCCCCAUGCAUUCAAGAUUCAUAAGUUUUCUAAAACUCAUGUCAUGUUAAAUGAGAUGGCCAGGGGCAGAUUCAAGUUGCUGUCGUCAUUUAGUACUUAUCGGGUAAACAUGUAUAUGGUCUUA